AUUGAACGCUGGCGGCAGGCCUAACACAUGCAAGUCGAACGAGUGGCGGACGGGUGAGUAAUGUAUGGGAAACUGCCUGAUGGAGGGGGAUAACUACUGGAACCGGUAGCUAAUACCGCAUACCAUCGGAUGUGCACAGAUGGGAUUAGCUAGUAGGUGGGGUAAAGGCUCACAUAGGCGACGAUCCCUAGCUGGUCUGAGAGGAUGACCAGCCACACUGGAACUGAGACACGGGCCAGACUCCUACGGGAGGCAGCAGUGGGGAAUAUUGGACAAUGGGCGAAAGCCUGAUGCAGCCAUGCCGCGUGUGUGAAGAAGGCCUUCGGAUUGGAAAGCACUUUCAGCGGGGAGGCGUUACUCGCAGAAGAAGCACCGGCUAACUCCGUGCCAGCAGCCGCGGUAAUUC
rnacentral:rRNA from 1 species